UUUCCAUCAGCGUUUAUCGCAUAAGCCGUAUAUCGAUCAUGAUACGAACGUAUUUCCUUUGAGUAGAUACACAUGAAAUUCCAUCAAAUUUUACUGGUUCCAUAAGGCAUUUUUUCAUAUGACUUCACUUAAUUCGGAUAAAAGCGUGUGGAUGGAAACAUAGCUACAGUCGGAUUCUAAUAUUUUGCUGUUGAA